rnacentral:tRNA from 1 species
GGAAGAAUGAUCGAGUGGUUUAAGGUGCUAGUCUUGAAAACUAGUGUAUCUAACGAUACCGUGGGUUCGAAUCCCACUUUUUCCG